rnacentral:lncRNA from 1 species
UCCCUGAGGGAAGUCUCAGUCAAGUAGUUAGCAGGUUCAGGCAGUGAAGGAGGUACGUAGCGAACCACCAAUCCUGUACUCUAGUUAGCCGGUUCAGAAGAGUUCUCGCGAAUCAAAGAAGGAUCUAGAAGCGGCUUAGGUAGAUGAUUGGAUUCCCUUUUUUCAUAUGGAAUAGCUCAGCUCAUAAAGAGCAGGGCAGAUUGGUGGAUAAACGGUAGAGACGACUACA